rnacentral:rRNA from 1 species
UACGGAGGGUGCGAGCGUUGUCCGGAAUCACUGGGCGUAAAGGGCGCGUAGGUGGCGGGUCAAGCGUGCGGUGAAAGCUUGGGGCUCAACCCCGAGUCGGCCGUGCGAACUGGCUUGCUUGAGCACUGUAGAGGCAGAUGGAAUUCCGGGUGUAGCGGUGGAAUGCGUAGAGAUCCGGAAGAACACCGGUGGCGAAGGCGGUCUGCUGGGCAGUUUUGCUGACACUGAGGCGCGACAGCGUGGGGAGCAAACAGG